UACAGAGGGUGCGAGCGUUAAUCGGAUUUACUGGGCGUAAAGGGCGCGUAGGCGGCGCGACAAGUCACUUGUGAAAUCUCCGGGCUUAACUCGGAACGGUCAAGUGAAACUGUCAUGCUAGAGUGCAGAAGGGGCAAUCGGAAUUCUUGGUGUAGCGGUGAAAUGCGUAGAUAUCAAGAGGAACACCUGAGGUGAAGACGGGUUGCUGGGCUGACACUGACGCUGAGGCGCGAAAGCCAGGGGAGCAAACGGG
rnacentral:rRNA from 1 species